rnacentral:tRNA from 1 species
GGCGCGUUGAAAAAUAAGGCUUUCCUCUCGAUUCCUAAUCGAGAGGUCGGAGGUUCGAAUCCUCUCCGGGUCA